AGACAUCAGCUCUUACCCAGACAUUAAGGAAGUGCGGUGUGAUUAGCUGUCCUUGAAAACAUAAUCUGUGGCAGUUUGAACAUGCAGCAGAAUGCCAGGAGUUGAAGUAUGCAAGAACAUCCUCAUUACUGAGCAGAUGUUGAAAAGAUUUCUCACAAAGAUUUAGUGUGAGCUGAAGUUUAAAAAAAUAUCUUGGUGCUGAGGAGGAACAAGCUUGAGAAUCCAAGAGGUAUGGAAGACCUGAGGAAAUGUGAACUGUAAGGCAUAUGUGUGUUGUGCUGGUGCUUAUAGCUAUUGCUGCCACCUGCAGACUCUACAUAAGGGCAAAUCUGAAAAGCAUCACUAUUCUGUGCCCCCUGGUUUUCUCUGAAAUGAAGAGAGUGGCCGUGUAGUGUCCUCCAAUGUCUCCCUCAGUCUCGGCAUUUAGAUACCUGUAUGACAGAGGCUCGUUUGGGUGUCCAGCCCACAGCAGAGACACGUCCAGGAAGAGUUUGUACUAGCCAAUAACCUCUCAACAUAACUUCACCUUACAAACCUGUAGUGUUAUGCUCUGUAAAAGCAAGUGAUCUGCUGGUCUUUCUGUUAUAUUUUUUAUUGCUUAUUUUUCUCACUUCCCUACUAUUCAUGGUUGUGACCUCAUAAGAUUUAUUGAGUUCAAAGAGAAAACUUGAGGGGCUGCAAAGGUGAUACUAGAGAAGGUCCCAAAAACAUGAGCAGUGUUCUCCCCCAUAGUCUGUAUUGAUUUAGUGCCCUGGAAUGGGCUUGCCUCCUGAAAAUGCUGCCUCUUCAAUUACAGAUUAAGUUAAAGGCUUACUACUUGCAAGAACAGAACUGUGUAAGUCUUCCAUGAUUUAAUCUGAAAGAAUGUGUAUACGUGUAUGCCUUUGAUUUCAGAUAUGCAGAUGUAAAGGAGGAGGAUGAUCUUGCACUAGGAAAUGGAGGUGAAGUAGACCUGGUUUCAUUUCCUGCCUGUACCACAGGCUUGCCAUGUAAUCUAAGAUAGGCUACUAAACUCUUUGGUCACUAUUACAGGCCCUGUAAAAUUGGGAUAACAAUAUUUUCUUUUGCUUUAUAUGUCCCUAUUCUUGCCUAGUAAAAUAGUAUGCUUUCUGGACUCACUCACAAAUGCAAACUGGCCAUGAAUGUGAGUGCUUGCACAAGUCUGUCUGCCUGUUCAUCUGGUUGCAGGUAUAUUCAGGUCAGCCAGUGUUCUGGAGUUGCUUCUGACUGGAAUUCAUGAAUAAAAAAGCAAUUUUCGGCACCUAGUAGUUCAAUUAGAGUUAAGGAACAUUUUUCAUGUUCAUUAUCAACAAAUGAGGAGGGUUAUCAUAUGCCUCUAUGACUUAGGUUGUUUGCCUGAAAUAUGAGAUUUGAUUAGAAUCCCUAAUCUAGUUCUGCCAGCUUUCUAGUAUAUUACAGGUGGGGAACCAGUCACAUCAGAAAUUAAGAGUUAUUCCUCUCUCUGCUUCAGUGGAAACUCUAGAGUAAUUAAUAACAUUUUAAUGUAACUAACAAUCAACUGGGAAUUCUUAAGUGCUAUUUUCAUGACAAAUUGUAAAUGCUGUGAAUGGCCACACUGCACCUUAUGAUUCUGCUCAGGCAAUUUCCUUAUAGCUAUAGAAUGCUACAAGUCAUUCAGGCAGAGUAAAACAUUUAUGGCCAAUUUUAAUGCACACCUCAUAAAAAUCAUUACUGUGAAUUAAUGAGUAGAAAUACAUUUGAAUCCAGGCCUGAUAACGUGAUAGAGUUGAGGGUAGAAAUGGAGUUAUUUAUACUUCUUUGUGAAUAAGCAUCAGAAAUAAAGAUUUUUAUCAUGUAUUCUGACUAAAUCAAAUUUGAAUAAAUAUAUACAUUCUUUCCCCAGAAGUCUCUCUGUAGUCUCAGUGGCUAUGACUUCACUCUUUAUGUACUUUAAUACCAACAGCCAUGUAGAUGUUCAUUUGUACAGAAACCAGUGCUCUAUUCUGGUUCAUACUUGGCUGCAGAUAGAGGAAUUGAUUUAAUGCAAAGUUUUGCCAGUAGCAUAAAUGACAUCUACCUAUUAGCAGUGUUUCUGUCUUGUGACUACUAACAGGGAGAAGCAGGGCUAUGUAAUCCCACUGCCGUGCUAAUACCGUUGUUUUGGGGAUGAAAGAUGUUAAUUGGCUCUGAUAAUUAGGGGAAUGAAAAAUUUUCCUAUAGUUAGGACUGGAGAAAUAUUACUCCUUAAAAAUUAGUAUUUUAUUACUUCUUUAUGCAUAGACGUGAUCUAUUGAUGCAUAUUCUAAAAAUAAAAAAUGUCUGAAUUUCUCAGCACUUUAGCCUACUAAAUUAAAUCAGUCACUCAUGGUCUUC
ensembl:lncRNA